rnacentral:rRNA from 1 species
AUUGAACGCUGGCGGCAGGCCUAACACAUGCAAGUCGAGCGAGCGGCGGACGGGGGAGUAAUGUCUGGGAAACUGCCUGCUGGAGGGGGAUAACUACUGGAAACGGUAGCUAAUACCGCAUACCAUCAGAUUUGCCCCGGUGGGAUUAGCUAGUGGGUGGGGUAACGGCUCACCUAGGCGACGAUCCCUAGCUGGUCUGAGAGGAUGACCAGCCAAACUGGAACUGGGACCCGGCCCAGAUUCUAACGGGAGGAAGCAGGGGGGAAUAUUGCACAUGGGGCGAAAGCCGGAUGCAGCCAUGCCGCGGGGGGGAAGAAGGCCUUCGGGUUUUAAAGCACUUUCAGCGGGGAGGCGUUACCCGCAGAAGAAGCACCGGCUAACUCCGUGCCAGCAGCCGCGGUAAUUC